UACGGAGGGUGCAAACGUUGCUCGGAAUCAUUGGGCGUAAAGCGCACGUAGGCGGCUUGUUAAGUCGGAUGUGAAAGCCCAAGGCUCAACCUUGGAAGUGCAUUCGAAACUGGCGAGCUUGAAUAUGGACGAGGGUCGCGGAAUUCCCGGUGUAGAGGUGAAAUUCGUAGAUAUCGGGAGGAACACCAGUGGCGAAGGCGGCGACCUGGGCCAAUAUUGACGCUAAGGUGCGAAAGCGUGGGGAGCAAACAGG
rnacentral:rRNA from 1 species